rnacentral:rRNA from 1 species
CCCUUAGAUGUUCUGGGCCGCACGCGCGCUACACUGACGAUGGCAACGAGUUUUUCCUUCGCCGAAAGGUGUGGGUAAUCUUUUGAAACAUCGUCGUGCUGGGGAUAGAUCAUUGCAAUUUUUGAUCUUGAACAAGGAAUUCCUAGUAAGCGCGAGUCAUCAGCUCGCGUUGAUUACGUCCCUGCCCUUUGUACACACCGCCCGUCGCUACUACCGAUUGAAUGGUUUAGUGAGGACUCCUGAUUGGCGCCGCCGCCCCGGCAACGGAGCAGCGGACUGCCGAAAAGUUGUUCAAACUUGAUCAUUUAGAGGAAGUAAAAGUCGUAACA